rnacentral:misc_RNA from 1 species
CGCACCUUGCGCUCCUUGGUAUUCCGAGGAGCAUGCCUGUUUGAGUGUCAUUAAAUUCUCAACCUCACCCGUUUUCAUUAACCUGCUGAGGCUUGGAUGUGGGGGUUUGUGCAGGCUGCCUCAGCGCGGUCUGCUCCCCUGAAAUGCAUUAGCGAGUUCAUACUGAACCUCCGUCUAUUGGUGUGAUAAUUAUCUACGCCGUUGACUUGGUUUAGACUCGCUUCUAACCGUCCGUAAGGACAAUACCUUUGACAAUUUGACCUCAAAUCAGGUAGGACUACCCGCUGAACUUAA